UACGUAGGUGGCAAGCGUUGUCCGGAUUUAUUGGGUUUAAAGGGUGCGUAGGCGGUCAUGUAAGUCAGUGCUGAAAUAUCCCGGCUUAACCGGGAGGGUGGCAUUGAUACUGUAUGACUUGAGUAAAGUUGAGGUUGGCGGAAUUGACGGUGUAGCGGUGAAAUGCGUUGAUAUCGGAAGGAACGCCGGUGGCGAAAGCGGCCCGCUGGACCCCGUCUGACGCUGAGGCGCGAAAGCCAGGGGAGCGAACGGG
rnacentral:rRNA from 1 species